rnacentral:rRNA from 1 species
AUGAACGCUGGCGGCGUGCCUAAUCCAUGCCAGUCGAGCGAACAGACGAGGAGCUUGCUCCUCUGACGUUAGCGGCGGACGGGUGAGUAACACGUGGAUAACCUACCUAUAAGACUGGGAUAACUUCGGGAAACCGGAGCUAAUACCGGAUAAUAUAUUGAACCGCCUGGUUCAAUAGUGAAAGACGGUUUUGCUGUCACUUAUAGAUGGAUCCGCGCCGCAUUAGCUAGUUGGUAAGGUAACGGCUUACCAAGGCAACGAUGCGUAGCCGACCUGAGAGGGUGAUCGGCCACACUGGAACUGAGACACGGUCCAGACUCCUACGGGAGGCAGCAGUAGGGAAUCUUCCGCAAUGGGCGAAAGCUUGACGGAGCAACGCCGCGUGAGUGAUGAAGGUCUUCGGAUCGUAAAACUCUGUUAUUAGGGAAGAACAAAUGUGUAAGUAACUAUGCACGUCUUGACGGUACCUAAUCAGAAAGCCACGGCUAACUACGUG